AACGAACGCUGGCGGCAGGCCUAACACAUGCAAGUCGAGCGCCUCGCAAGAGGAGCGGCAGACGGGUGAGUAACGCGUGGGAAACUACCCUUUGGCACGGAACAACUCGGCGAAAGCUGAGCUAAUACCGUAUGUGUCCUUCGGGAGAAAGAUUUAUCGCCAAAGGAUGUGCCCGCGUCGGAUUAGCUAGUUGGUGGGGUAACGGCCCACCAAGGCGACGAUCCGUAGCUGGUCUGAGAGGAUGAUCAGCCACACUGGGACUGAGACACGGCCCAGACUCCUACGGGAGGCAGCAGUGGGGAAUAUUGGACAAUGGGGGCAACCCUGAUCCAGCCAUGCCGCGUGAGUGAUGAAGGCCUUAGGGUUGUAAAGCUCUUUCGCCCGCGAAGAUAAUGACUGUAGCGGGAGAAGAAGCCCCGGCUAACUUCGUGCCAGCCGCCGCAGUAACAC
rnacentral:rRNA from 1 species